UUGAAGAGUUUGAUCAUGGCUCAGAUUGAACGCUGGCGGCAGGCUUAACACAUGCAAGUCGAGCGGUAACA
rnacentral:rRNA from 1 species